rnacentral:rRNA from 2 species
GGUAGGGGAGCGUUCUGUAAGCCUGUGAAGGUGGCCUGUGAGGGUUGCUGGAGGUAUCAGAAGUGCGAAUGCUGACAUAAGUAACGAUAAAGCGGGUGAAAAGCCCGCUCGCCGGAAGACCAAGGGUUCCUGUCCAACGUUAAUCGGGGCAGGGUGAGUCGACCCCUAAGGCGAGGCCGAAAGGCGUAGUCGAUGGGAAACGGGUUAAUAUUCCCGUACUUGGUGUUACUGCGAAGGGGGGACGGAGAAGGCUAUGUUGGCCGGGCGACGGUUGUCCCGGUUUAAGCGUGUAGGUGUGUGUUCCAGGUAAAUCCGGUUCACUUUAACACUGAGGCGUGAUGACGAGGCACUACGGUGCUGAAGCAACAAAUGCCCUGCUUCCAGGAAAAGCCUCUAAGCAUCAGGUAACAUCAAAUCGUACCCCAAACCGACACAGGUGGUCAGGUAGAGAAUACCAAGGCGCUUGAGAGAACUCGGGUGAAGGAACUAGGCAAAAUGGUGCCGUAACUUCGGGAGAAGGCACGCUGACAC